rnacentral:rRNA from 1 species
GCUAAGACUGGAUAGGAAGAAAUAAGGCAUCUUUUUUCUUUUAAAAGACCUAGUGAUAGGUAUACUUUAGGAGGGGCUUGCGCCAUAUUAGUUAGUUGGUAGGGUAAUGGCCUACCAAGACGAUGAUGUGUAGCUGGACUGAGAGGUUGAACAGCCACAUUGGGACUGAGACACGGCCCAAACUCCUACGGGAGGCAGCAGUAGGGAAUUUUCGGCAAUGGAGGAAACUCUGACCGAGCAACGCCGCGUGAACGACGAAGUACUUUGGUAUGUAAAGUUCUUUUAUCAAGGAAGAAAAGCAAGUGGUGAACCAUUUGUUUGCCGGUACUUGAUGAAUAAGCCCCGGCUAAUUAUGUGCCAGCAGCCGCGGUAAGACAUAAGGGGCAAGUGUUAUCCGGAAUUAUUGGGCGUAAAGGGUGCGUAGGCGGUCUAGUAAGUCAGUGGUGUAAUGGCAACGCUCAACGUUGUCCGGCUAUUGAAACUGCUAAACUUGAGUUAGAUAGAGGCGAGUGGAAUUCCAUGUGUAGCGGUAAAAUGCGUAAAUAUAUGGAGGAACACCAGAGGCGUAGGCGGCUCGCUGGGUCUUAACUGACGCUGAGGCACGAAAGCGUGGGGAGCAAACAGGAUUAGAUACCCUGGUAGUCCACGCCGUAAACGAUGAGUACUAAGUGUCGGGUUAAACCGGUACUGAAGUUAACACAUUGGGUACUCCGCCUGAGUAGUACGUACGCAAGUAUGAAACUUAAAGGAAUUGACGGGACUCCGCACAAGCGGUGGAUCAUGUUGUUUAAUUCGAAGAUACCCGAAAAACCUUACCAGGUCUUGACAUGUUUUUGCGAAACGGUAGUAAUAUCGUGGAGGUUAUCAGAAACACAGGUGGUGCAUGGUUGUCGUCAGCUCGUGUCGUGAGAUGUUAGGUUAAGUCCUAAAACGAGCGAAACCCUUAUCGUUAGUUGCCAGCACGUUAUGGUGGGGACUUUAACGAGACUGCCAGUGACAAAUUGGAGGAAGGUGAGGAUCACGUCAAAUCAGCAUGCCCCUUAUGACCUGGGCUACAAACGUGAUACAAUGGCUGUUGCAAAGGGUAGCUGAAACGCAAGUUCUUGGCCAAUCCCCAAAAACAGUCUCAGUCCGGAUUGAAGUCUGCAACUCGACUUCAUGAAGUUGGAAUCGCUAGUAAUCGCGAAUCAGCAUGUCGCGGUGAAUACGUUCUCGGGGUUUGUACACACCGCCCGUCAAAUCAC